CUUCUCCUCUCUUUUUUUUGGUGUGCAUAUAGUCCUUUCAUGAAGAAAAUAGAUUCCAUCCAAACUUUAUGCGAAUGAAUUGGAGGCUUAAUCUUGGUUUCUAUCACUAAUCUUAAAUAUUUAUUUGGAACUGUCGUCAAUGAUCUAAGCAUUUUGUGUCAAUAUGGGAACGAGAAGAUAGUUUUAAACACUUGCUAAUCUCUGGGAGACUGUGAUUGUUACGCUGAGCUUCCUUUAAUUGUCUAAGUAUCCAUGUCUUGGCAUAUUAUAGCCAAACGGAGACAAACAAGACUUUCACUAUGGUUAGUAAAUUAUUACAACUCUCUUGAUUUCUAGAAUUAAUUAUUCUAAAUUUAUUUGGAUACUUUUUUCAUCUAAUCCAAGGAAGAGUUUUGUUCUCAUCUUUCAAAUCAAAGGCAUUAAUCAUCUUCAAGCCCUUCCUCCUUGGGAAAUUAUAGAACGCAGUAGUUCUAACUACAAAGCAUCAAAUGUAAGAGUUAUUCAUGCUAGAAGGUCCAUUGGGUUAACGGCUGAAUUCAGAUUUGAUGCUUUGUUCAACUGUCCAUUUGAAAUUAUACCUCACAUAUAUAUAUAUAUAUAUAUAUAUAUAUAUCUGAAUAACCUUAGUUUUCUCUUGGAACAA